rnacentral:rRNA from 1 species
CCUACGGGAGGCUGCAGUGGGGAGUAUUGGACAAUGGGGGCAACCCUGAUCCAGCCAUGCCGCGUGUGUGAAGGAGGCCCUCGGGUUGUAAAGCACUUUCAGUGAGGAAGAACGCCUGGUGGUUAAUACCCAUCAGGAAAGACAUCACUCACAGAAGAAGCACCGGCUAACUCCGUGCCAGCAGCCGCGGUAAUACGGAGGGUGCGAGCGUUAAUCGGAAUUACUGGGCGUAAAGCGCGCGUAGGUGGCUUGAUAAGCCGGUUGUGACAGCCCCGGGCUCAACCUGGGAACGGCAUCCGGAGCUGUCCAGGUAGAGGGCAGGAGAGGAAGGUAGAAUUCCCGGGGUAGCGGUGAAAUGCGUAGAGAUCGGGAGGAAUGCCAGUGGCGAAGGCGGGCUUCUGGACUGACAGUGACACUGAGGUGCGAAAGCGUGGGUAGCAGACAGGAUUAGAUACCCCUGGAGUC